GUCAGGGGGUGGAUGUAAUGUUGGGGUGGAUGUAAUGUUGAGGUGGAUGUAAUGUUGGGGUGGAUGUAAUGUCAGGGGGUGGAUGUAAUGUUGGGGUGGAUGUGAUGUCAGGGGGUGGAUGUAAUGUCAGGGGGUGGAUGUAAUGUUAGGGGUGGAUGUAAUGUUGGGGUGGAUGUAAUGUUGGGGUGGAUGUAAUGUCAGGGGGUGGAUGUAAUGUUGGGGUGGAUGUAAUGUCAGGGGGUGGAUGUGAUGUCAGGGGGUGGAUGUAAAGUUGAGUAUGAGUGUGUGUGUGUGUGUGUGUGUGUGUGUGUGUCUGUGUGUGUGUGUGUGUGUGUGUGUGUGUAUGUAUCUGUGUGGGUUGGGGUUGGUGUCAGUCCAGUCUCUGAGUAUUGAUUAGUCUCAUGGCUUGGGGGAAGAAGCUGUUACACAGUCUGGCAGUGAGGCCUGAAUGCUUCGGUACCUUUUGCCAGACGGCAGGAGGAUGAAGAGUUUGUGUGGCGGUGUGUCGAAUCAUCAUCUUUGCGGAUGCAGCGGGUGGUUUCUGUGGUGGAGGGAAGAGAGACCCCGAUGAUCUUCUCAGCUGCUUUCACUAUUCUCUGCAAGGUCUUGCAUUACGAAACAGUGCAAUUUCCAAACCAGGCAGUGAUGCAGCUGCUCAGGAUGCUUUCUUGGUUAUGGAGCUGGUGUUGAGGGACAAGGUGAGGUUCUCUUGGUGCUCUUGAUGAUCUCCACAGAGGAGCUGUCGAUGUUCAGUGGAGAGUGGUCGCUUUGUGCUCUCCUGAAGUCAACAACUAUCUCUUUGGUUUUGUCCACAUUCAGAGACGGAUUGUUUACUCUGCACCAGUUUGUUAGCCGCUGCACCUCAUCUCAGUAUGCCGACUUGUCAUUCUUGCUGAUGAGACACAACACAGUCGUGUCAUCUGCAAACUUGAUGAGUUGACUCGAGCUGUGCAUUGAUGCACAGUCAUGAGUCAGCAGAGUGAACAGCAGUGGACUGAGCACACAGCCCUGGGGGGCCCCAGUGCUCAGUGUGGUGGUGCUGGAGAUGCUGCUCCCAAUCCAGACUAACUGAAGUCCAGGAAGUCCAGGAUCAAAUUGUAGAGGGAGGUGUUUAGUACCAGCAAGCUCAGCUUUCCAAUCAGGUUAGGGGGAUGGAUAUAGAUUAUGGGAAUGGAAAUAAUGUUAGGAGUGUGUGUAUAUAACUUUAGGGGGUGAAUUUAACAUCAGGUGUGGAUAUAACAUUAAGAGGUAUCUCACUGAACCCACUGAGCCCUAUCUCACUGAACAGGCUACAUAGCAACUACAGUGAGGGAAAAAAGUAUUCAAUAUAGUAAUUAAUUUAUAACAUUUUUGACGUGCGUUUUUCUGGAUUUUUUUGUUGUUAUUCUGUCUCUCACUGUUCAAAUAAAUCUACCAUUAAAAUUAUAGAAUGAUCAUUUCUUUGUCAGUGGGCAAACGUACAAAAUCAGCAGGGGAUCAAAUACUUUUUUCCCUCACUGUAGUCCAGGCUCGUUAUUUCUAAAUUGGACUAUUGCACUGUGCUACUCCCGGGCCUCCCAGUCAGCUCCAUCAAACCCCUUCAGAUGAUUCAGAAUGCAGCAGCACGCCGUGUUUUCAACCAGCCCAGAAGAACCCAUGUCACACCCCUCUUUAUCUACAAGACCUUGUCUGGAACAGCACCCCACUACCUCAACACGCUCCCUGAGAGGGGAUAGAACACCCCCGAGUCACCUGCCCCGGUACAGAGCUGUGAUCCCCUGCAGCUUUUCUCUGUGCCGGUAUUCCCUGCGGUGUUGCCAGCUUUAUGAAUACUGGAUAUGUGUGUGUGUGUGUGUGUGUGUGUGUGUGUGUGUGUGUGUGUGUGUGUGUGUGUGUGUGUGUGUGAACUGAGUUCUGGUCACGCUCUUCAGGCCUGCUUGUUCUGAUACCCUGCUGUGAAAAUCCCCCGGGACGACACUGCUGAGAUAAAGCCCCAGGGCAUUGUGGGAAUGUUUCUCUCAGCCACAGGCUCCAUCACAUCAAACCACUGCAGAAAACAAACCUCCGGGAUUCUCUUGGAUGCUCAGGUUCUCCUCAGAAUUACUCGUUUAGUGCUGAGCAAACACACACACACACACACACACACACACACAAGCACACAUUUCAGGCAGUUGUGUGGUUGUUUUGCGUGGUCUUCUAGUGAUGAAAGAAGGUUUUUCUUUUCUUCUUGGUAUAUUUGAAGGCUGUUCAUUUUUCUUAAACAAUUCUAUGAUGUAAAAUGUAACAUGAGAUUAUUAUAAUAUUUAAUAACAUAAAUAUUACAUGCUGUCACUCCACCACUAUU
ensembl:lncRNA